UCAGCUUGGUGUUGGGACUCGCGGUAACCCGCGUUCCCCAAAUCGAUUGGCGGUCACGUCGAGCUUCCAUAGCGUAGUAAUCAU
rnacentral:rRNA from 1 species